CUUCUUCUUCUUCUCCUCCUCCUCCUCCUCCUCCUCCUUCUUCUUCUUCUUCUUCUUCUUCUUCUUCUUCUUCUUCUUCUUCUUCUUCUUCUUCUUCUUCUUCUUCUUCUUCUUCUUCUUCUUCUUCUUCUACUACUACUACUCUCUUCUACUACCACUUUGUAUUGCUAUUUGGAUUUGGAUGACCCAUGUGAUAUUUACUUUUUUUCUCCUAUUUGUGGCAUUUGCAAUGAUGAAUUUUUUCAAACUUUUAAAAAAUGCUGAGGCAAUGGCAUUUGCAAAGAUGACAAACUUUUUAUGCUGAGGCAGCGGCUAUGAUGAUGAAAUGUCCUCAUACUUCUGAGCCUCUAAACUAGGAUGGCUUGUAUACCACAUACAAGCAACCAGUUUAGAAGCGAUGUGAUGACAAUGGAACAAAUUUGAGCCAAUUAUUCUAUUUGAUACUAUUCUUAUACAAUAAUGUACUUAUAUAUAUACAUUAAUGAUUUAAAUUUUGUUGCCUUUUCUAAUUCAACUUAAGAAUAACUUUACUCUAUAAAUUUCAUUUGUUCAUUCCACUACGGCCUACUAGACUAACGAAAUCAUUGACACUUGUAGAUUCUAGCUUGGACAGC
rnacentral:lncRNA from 1 species